rnacentral:tRNA from 1 species
CCGAUGAUAGCUCAGUGGUAGAGCGGGUGACUGUAGUACCCCCAUAGUGAUCACCAGGUCCUGAGUUGAAUUCUCAGUCAUCGGA